rnacentral:rRNA from 1 species
GACGAACGCUGGCGGCGUGCUUAACACAUGCAAGUCGAACGGAAAGGCCCUGCUUUUGUGGGGUGCUCGAGUGGCGAACGGGUGAGUAACACGUGAGUAACCUGCCCUUGACUUUGGGAUAACUUCAGGAAACUGGGGCUAAUACCGGAUAGGAGCUCCUGCUGCAUGGGGGGGGUGGGAAAGUUUCGGCGGUUGGGGAUGGACUCGCGGCUUAUCAGCUUGUUGGUGUGGUAGUGGCUUACCAAGGCUUUGACGGGUAGCCGGCCUGAGAGGGUUAGCGGCCACAUUGGGACUGAGAUACGGCCCAGACUCCUACGGUAGGCAGCAGUGGGGAGUAUUGCACAAUGGGCGGAAGCCUGAUGCAGCGACGCCGCGUGCGGGAUGACGGCCUUCGGGUUGUAAACCGCUUUCGCCUGUGACGAAGCGUGAGUGACGGUACUGGGUAAAGAAGCACCGGCUAACUACGUG